rnacentral:tRNA from 1 species
UCCCAGUUAGUACAAUGGUUAGUAUAGGGCACUCUCAAUAGAACCUGCUGCAUCAACGGGAUAGCGAAUGUGCUGCUCAGAUCAGGGUUCGAUUCCCUGGCCGGGAA